GCGCUCGUAGCUCAGCUGGAUAGAGCACUUCCCUCCUAAGGAAGGGGUCAGGCGUUCGAAUCGCCUCGAGCGCGCCA
rnacentral:tRNA from 1 species